GUGCUUUUUCUCUCUGUUCUCCUCUUCCUGUCUCUGCUGGCUAAUGCGGCGUUGGCUCACCUGUAUUAUAGCAAUGGCCUAGACUGGCUAAUAAGUUGUGAACCAGUAAAGAGCUGUUCAGAUCAAGAUGUUGACCACAAUGCUCAAAUCGAACCGUUCCUUCACAAGGAUAUGGAAAACAGGUCCCAAGCACAUCACUGUCCCCAA